UGCAGUCGAACGGCAGCACGGGGGCAACCCUGGUGGCGAGUGGCGAACGGGUGAGUAAUAUAUCGGAACGUACCCUGGAGUGGGGGAUAACGUAGCGAAAGUUACGCUAAUACCGCAUACGAUCUAAGGAUGAAAGUGGGGGAUGCGCAAGCACCUCAUGCUCCUGGAGCGGCCGAUAUCUGAUUAGCUAGUUGGUGGGGUAAAGGCCUACCAAGGCAUCGAUCAGUAGCUGGUCUGAGAGGACGACCAGCCACACUGGAACUGAGACACGGUCCAGACUCCUACGGGAGGCAGCAGUGGGGAAUUUUGGACAAUGGGCGAAAGCCUGAUCCAGCAAUGCCGCGUGAGUGAAGAAGGCCUUCGGGUUGUAAAGCUCUUUUGUCAGGGAAGAAACGGUGAGAGCUAAUAUCUCUUGCUAAUGACGGUACCUGAAGAAUAAGCACCGGCUAACUACGUGCCAGCAGCCGCGGUAAUACGUAGGGUGCAAGCGUUAAUCGGAAUUACUGGGCGUAAAGCGUGCGCAGGCGGUUUUGUAAGUCUGUCGUGAAAUCCCCGGGCUCAACCUGGGAAUUGCGAUGGAGACUGCAAGGCUAGAAUCUGGCAGAGGGGGGUAGAAUUCCACGUGUAGCAGUGAAAUGCGUAGAGAUGUGGAGGAACACCGAUGGCGAAGGCAGCCCCCUGGGUCAAGAUUGACGCUCACGCACGAAAG
rnacentral:rRNA from 1 species